GGAGUUAUAGUCAACAAUGAUAUUUGAUUUGCACUCAAAAGGUACUCCAUCAGGGGUUAACUUCA
rnacentral:tRNA from 1 species